rnacentral:rRNA from 1 species
UACGGGGGGGGCAAGCGUUGUUCGGAAUUACUGGGCGUAAAGAGUGUGUAGGCGGUGUUCUAAGUCUGUUGUGAAAUCUCCCGGCUCAACUGGGAGGGUGCGGCGGAGACUGGAAUGCUAGAGUAUGGGAGAGGUAAGCGGAAUUCCUGGUGUAGCGGUGAAAUGCGUAGAUAUCAGGAGGAACACCUGUGGUGUAGACAGCUUACUGGACCAUGACUGACGCUGAGACACGAAAGCGUGGGUAGCAAACAGG